CUGGAUCGUUCAAAGAAGCCCUACUCUUUACAACAGGGGAUUUGUUCUAGAUCGUUCACCAUUCUGCUCUCUUGCUUGCUCUCGCCUCUUGCAACCAUUGCUGCUAUCAGGUUAGUAUCAAAUUAGUUUCCUUCUCUUUCGUCUUCUAGGUUUUCUGUUGAAGCUGGGUAUUAGGUUGAGAGGAACUGAAUUAGGGUUUGUAGAGUGUGUUUGACAAAAGAAACCAGCGGCUGCUAGACCCUUCGCCCGUCGACCAUCGGAAAAGCUGCACACCGCCGUCGUCGUCGAGACACUCACCGCCGCCGGCGUGAGGGGUGGCGGCUCUGCCUGCCGUCGCUGGAGAUCAUCGGAGGGGGGGGGUGUGAGUGUGGUUGUCACUGGAGAUGGUGGCCGACACCACCAUAGCGGCGCCGGUACCACAGAAACCCGCCGAUCACCGGUGUGAGAUCGAGAGAGAGCAGAGGGAAAUGGGGGUUUGGUGUGCGCAUAUUUGAUCUAGGGUUUUUGAAAUGAGGGGGUGCAAGUUAUAUAGAUCGAGUGUAUGCUAACAAGUUUGUUUCGUAUGUCUCAUCAUCAUAUUUUCUAAUUUCGGUUAGUUACAUAGCUCCACAUUUGUAGUGUCGAUUUAGAAAACAUACACCAUAUCGAUAUCACUCAUUUUAGAGCACCCGAUAUCUUAUCCGAAUAAGAUGCUCUCAAAAGUCAAAAGGAAUACUUCACUGGUUGAAGUAUAAGGCAAAACAAACCCAAAUUUAGGUCAUAAUUCAUAAACUCAUAAUGGGUUGAAGGUAACCUGUUGGGUCAUAGUGGGUCUUUUUCAAUGGGUCUGUAUGGGUUCAAUUGAGAGAGUUGAAUACUUGAAUAUGACUAAGGAUUAACAAUGGUCUGGAACUCACAGGAUACAUUCAAAAAAGAAAAAAAGAACACAGCAUGUAUGGUAUAUCAAUAUAUCAUAUCAAUCGUAAAAGAUAUGAUUGUUCUUAUUUUUUCAAUUAUUGUUUUAGAUCUUCUCGAGUCAAAGAUGGGGCCUAUGGAUAUUGUUGGUAAGACCAAAGAGGAUGCUUCGUUACCGAAAGAUUCAUUUGCAGUGUUUUUAUUUUUUAAAAGUUCGGUGACCCAGUUCGGCGGCUAGGGUUUAGUCAGAGUUUUCCCAACGAUUGAGUCAAAUCAACCACAUACAUUUGUUGUUGUUACCCUUGAUCCACCUAUCCGUAAGGGUCAAACUAUGUAUCGUUGCAGUUUGAAACAGAUUAUGUGGUGGAAAGCACAUUGACCAUGAAUGAAGAUCUUUUCGCUACCAAAUACAAGGACAAGCUAGAGCCAACUUAUAAGGGACUGAUUUAUGAAGUGUUACAAUGGUAUUGAGAGGCUUAUCAGGCACAAAACUCACAAGUCCCGGAAAAUUCCGUAGCUGUCAAGACGGUUACGCUGUGAAGUCAUCGUUAAAAGCCGAAGAUGGCGUUCUUUAUCCGCUUGAAAAGAGCUUUUUCUUCUUACCAAAACCACCUACUCUUAUUCUAUACGAUGAGAUGGCAAAAUAUUCCAAGUGCAAGUUGGAAUUCAGCAAGUGUCAAAGGAAGGAUAUAGGGUAUCUUUGGCAAAAGUAUUUGGUCGCAAAAGAAGAGUUCGGUGAUGAAGAGGUGAACUGUGAAUCUUCACCGGAACAGGCUGCAAAUUUUUUAUUUUGGUUUUGCUCGAUCCACUUUAGAUGAAGAAAGCCAAGAAUGCGAUCUUGAACCAACGCUACGUAGCGCGCCGCAACGCGCGCAGGGUAUAAACCUAGUAGUAUA